rnacentral:rRNA from 1 species
CCUACGGGAGGCAGCAGUGGGGAAUUUUGGACAAUGGGCGAAAGCCUGAUCCAGCCAUGCCGCGUGAGUGAAGAAGGCCUUCGGGCUGUAAAGCUCUUUUAGUCGGAAAGAAAGAGUUGCAAUGAAUAAUGGUGAUUUAUGACGGUACCGACAGAAAAAGCACCGGCCUAACUACGUGCCACAGCCGCGGUAAUACGUAGGGUGCGAGCGUUAAUCGGAAUUACUGGGCGUAAAGGGUGCGCAGGCGGUCUUGCGAGUCAGAUGUGAAAGCCCCGGGCUUAACCUGGGAAUUGCGUUUGAAACUACAAGGCUAGAGUGCAGCAGAGGGGAGUGGAAUUCCAUGUGUAGCAGUGAAAUGCGUAGAGAUGUGGAAGAACACCGAUGGCGAAGGCAGCUCCCUGGGUUGACACUGACGCUCAUGCACGAAAGCGUGGGGAGCAAACAGGAUUAGAUACCCUGGUAGUCCACGCCCUAAACGAUGUCAACUAGUUGUCGGAUCUAAUUAAGGAUUUGGUAACGUAGCUAACGCGUGAAGUUGACCGCCUGGGGAGUACGGUCGCAAGAUUAAAACUCAAAGGAA